rnacentral:rRNA from 1 species
CAUGCAGUCGAGCGGAACGAGUUAUCUGAACCUUCGGGGAACGAUAACGGCGUCGAGCGGCGGACGGGUGAGUAAUGCCUAGGAAAUUGCCCUGAUGUGGGGGAUAACCAUUGGAAACGAUGGCUAAUACCGCAUAAUACCUACGGGUCAAAGAGGGGGACCUUCGGGCCUCUCGCGUCAGGAUAUGCCUAGGUGGGAUUAGCUAGUUGGUGAGGUAAUGGCUCACCAAGGCGACGAUCCCUAGCUGGUCUGAGAGGAUGAUCAGCCACACUGGAACUGAGACACGGUCCAGACUCCUACGGGAGGCAGCAGUGGGGAAUAUUGCACAAUGGGCGCAAGCCUGAUGCAGCCAUGCCGCGUGUGUGAAGAAGGCCUUCGGGUUGUAAAGCACUUUCAGUCGUGAGGAAGGUGGURUAGUUAAUAGCACYAUCAUUUGACGUUAGCGACAGAAGAAGCACCGGCUAACUCCGUGCCAGCAGCCGCGGUAAUACGGAGGGUGCGAGCGUUAAUCGGAAUUACUGGGCGUAAAGCGCAUGCAGGUGGUUUGUUAAGUCAGAUGUGAAAGCCCGGGGCUCAACCUCGGAAUAGCAUUUGAAACUGGCAGACUAGAGUACUGUAGAGGGGGGUAGAAUUUCAGGUGUAGCGGUGAAAUGCGUAGAGAUCUGAAGGAAUACCGGUGGCGAAGGCGGCCCCCUGGACAGAUACUGACACUCAGAUGCGAAAGCGUGGGAGCAAACAGGAUUAGAUACCCUGGUAGUCCACGCCGUAAACGAUGUCUACUUGGAGGUUGUGGCCUUGAGCCGUGGCUUUCGGAGCUAACGCGUUAAGUAGACCGCCUGGGGAGUACGGUCGCAAGAUUAAAACUCAAAUGAAUUGACGGGGGCCCGCACAAGCGGUGGAGCAUGUGGUUUAAUUCGAUGCAACGCGAAGAACCUUACCUACUCUUGACAUCCAGAGAACUUUCCAGAGAUGGAUUGGUGCCUUCGGGAACUCUGAGACAGGUGCUGCAUGGCUGUCGUCAGCUCGUGUUGUGAAAUGUUGGGUUAAGUCCCGCAACGAGCGCAACCCUUAUCCUUGUUUGCCAGCACUUCGGGUGGGAACUCCAGGGAGACUGCCGGUGAUAAACCGGAGGAAGGUGG